GUCACCCGUGUUCUUGGAGAUGUGAGCAGAUUAAGAUGAAGAAAGGUGACAUCCCACCAGUGGCAUAGAGUCAGGUUUUUGAACGUCUGCAAGACCAACUACAAAGGCUGAAAAAAGAAGUCCUCAAAAAAGGUGAAUUUCCCAGCUGACAUUUGGGACUUCUAGAAACAUGAUGGGGUUCCUGGAAAUUUAUCCGGUCCGUGUGAUGUCUCUCCAUGAGUUGUGUCCUUCCUAGUCUACAAAAGUGAAGACAGAAAGAAAGACUUGCCUGUGGCAUUCAUGCCAGAUCCAAGCGUGGCGGCCCGUUUUGGGACGGAAGUCAGCCUGCCCAUU